rnacentral:rRNA from 1 species
GGCGCGAAAACUUUACAAUGCUGGCAACAGCGAUAAGGGAACCUCGAGUGCCAGGUUACAAAUCUGGCUGUCGAGAUGCCUAAAAAGCAUUUCAUAGCAAGGGCCGGGCAAGACCGGUGCCAGCCGCCGCGGUAACACCGGCGGCUCGAGUGGUAACCGUUAUUAUUGGGUCUAAAGGGUCUGUAGCCGGCCGGAUAAGUCUCUUGAGAAAUCUGGCAGCUUAACUGUCAGGCUUUCAGGAGAUACUGUCUGGCUCGAGGCCGGGAGAGGUGAGAGGUACUUCAGGGGUAGGGGUGAAAUCUUGUAAUCCUUGAAGGACCACCAGUGGCGAAGGCGUCUCACCAGAACGGACCUGACGGCAAGGGACGAAAGCUAGGGGCACGAACCGGAUUAGAAACCCGGGUAGUCC